rnacentral:rRNA from 1 species
AAUGAACGUUGGCGGCGUGGAUUAGGCAUGCAAGUCGUACGGGUCGGUGUAGCAAUACAACGGCAAGUGGCGAAAGGGAGAGUAACACGUAGAUACCUACCCUCUGGUCGGGGAUACCGCGGCAUAACCGCAAGUAAUACCCGAUAAAAUCUCCGGCUCACAGGUGUGCUUCCGCCGGAGGAGGGUACUGCGUUCUAUCAGCUUGUUGGUGAGGUAAUGGCUCACCAAGGCUAAGACGGAUACGGGGUGUGAGAGCAUGCCCCCGCUCACUGGGACUGAGACACUGCCCAGACACCUACGGGUGGCUGCAGUCGAGAAUCUUCGGCAAUGGGCGCAAGCCUGACCGAGCGACGCCGCGUGCGGGAUGAAGGCCUUCGGGUUGUAAACCGCUGUCGAGGGGAAUGAAGUGUAGGUGGGUACUCCCAUCUAUUUGACAGAUCCCUGGAGGAAGCAUGGGCUAAGUUCGUGCCAGCCGCCGCGGUAA